CAUAACCUGGUUGAUCCUGCCAGUAGUCAUACGCUCGUCUCAAAGAUUAAGCCAUGCAUGUCUAAGUAUAAACAAUCUAUACUGUGAAACUGCGAAUGGCUCAUUAUAUCAGUUAUAGUUUAUUUGAUAUUCCUUUACUACUUGGAUACCCGUAGUAAUUCUAGAGCUAAUACAUGCAUAAAGUCCCGACUGCUU
rnacentral:rRNA from 1 species